UGAGGAAUAUUGGACAAUGGGCGCAAGCCUGAUCCAGCCAUGCCGCGUGGAUGAUGAAGGCCUUAGGGUUGUAAAAUCCUUUCGCCGAGGACGAUAAUGACGGUACUCGGAGAAGAAGCUCCGGCUAACUUCGUGCCAGCAGCCGCGGUAAUACGAAGGGGGCUAGCGUUGUUCGGAUUUACUGGGCGUAAAGCGCGUGUAGGCGGGUCGUUAAGUUGGGGGUGAAAUCCCGAGGCUCAACCUCGGAACUGCCUUCAAAACUGGCGACCUGGACCUAAGUAGAGGCAAGUGGAAUUGCGAGUGUAGAGGUGAAAUUCGUAGAUAUUCGCAGGAACACCAGUGGCGAAGGCGACUUGCUGGACUUAUGGUGACGCUGAGACGCGAAAGCGUGGGGAGCAAACAGGAUUAGAUACCCACGUAGUCCCUGAGCGGGCUGGCAAGGCGCAU
rnacentral:rRNA from 1 species